rnacentral:misc_RNA from 1 species
CACCCUUCAAGCGUAGCUUGGUGUUGGGCUCCACGUCCAAAGGGACGGGCCUCAAAGGAAGUGGCGGGCAUAUUUCGCCUCCAGCUGCAGUAGAAACUCUCUCAGCUGGGGUGCCAACCAAAUAUUCCUGUCAGUGACACAAAUCUGUGCAGUAACUCUGCACUUUGGAA